GGAUGUGAGGGAGAUCUGACUGAGACAUCUGUCAUCCCAUUGAUCAACAGGGUUGAUCUGGUGAUCUGAGUGUCUCUGUGGGUGUCCCCUUCCUCCUAUACCACGCCAUGUGCGUCCCUUCCAACGCUUUGCACUCAAAGAGAAGGACCUUUUUUUCCAAUAAAGAUGGCUCUGUCGAGCAUUCCGCUGUUGGAAACUCCACACAGGCUUCGGAGUUCAUGUUGAGCUGAGCUCCG
ensembl:misc_RNA predicted gene, 22601